GGCCCCUCGCGGCCCCGCGCCCCCUCGCCGCUGCCCCAGCCCCCCCCCCACCAGGGGCGCCCGCGGAGGGAGUGAAGGAGCCCAUCUCGGCCCUCCCGCCUCCCCCUUGGAGCCUGGCUUCGGGGUAGAGAGGAGGAGGCGGGCGCCACGGCUCGGGUCGGCGGCACUGGCUGCGGGCGUCGGGCGAGGGGCGAGGGAGCCCCCCCCCAGCCCCCGCUGGCGCCCGCAACUCGGGGCCCCGUCCGGGAGCUGCAGCGGCCACACUUCGCGCAGACACGCGCGCGGGGGAGGGGAGGGUGACAGAACCGACCCGGGAAGCUGGCCUUGGGCGCACGGGACCCCUCACCUGCCGAGGCAGGUAGGGAGCCAGUGGCCCACCCGGAUAGACGCGCCACUAGAAAGCCUUCAGGCGCUGAGGCAAGGGUCCCUCCCGGGCGUGGAAAAUUCUCGCUUCAACUUGUGGGUCCAGAGUGUGAAUCAAGAAUAACAUGGCAACCAAGCCUGGGGAGCCAUGGACCCAUCCUGAGUCUUGGACCACCAUUCAUGCUGUCUAUCCCCUACCAUCCUUAGAAGUGUUCUCGGAGGGAAACAUUGCGUCUUUGAAGUGUAAAGUCGAUUUGAUUACUCUCAGUCUCUUUGAUAAUGGAUCAUGCUAUGAAAUGCUAGCUUCAUAGUGGAAUAUCAAUGACCUUUAUAUCUGGAACAUGAAGUGAUAUCAGCCCUAUGGAGAGACCCAUGUAGCAGGGGACAAAGCCUCCAGUGAACAGCCAUGAGAGCGAGCCUUCUUGGAAGUGGCUACUCUGGCUUCAGCCAUGCCCACAGUGUCUCAGCAGAUGUCCAAGGUUGAGAGAAGCUCUACUGAAGGACUGUACCCAAGGAGCCUCAUCCAUGCCAGAAACUAAUUUAGAUGAUGAGAUUCUGGAGUUUGAGCUGAUGCAUUAGAUUUUGUGGACCUUAUGAAGAGUGAGUAUAUUUUACAUGUAUGAAGAAUCCAUGGGACUCCGCCGCUGUCAUUGUCUUACCCCACAUGUGAAAAAGGCAUGGAAGGUGGAAGAACCUUGCUUGACUACAAAGAUGCCUUUGCACACUGGCCCAAAUUUCCACAAACCAGGGCAAGAAUGGCUGCAUAAAUUUUGGACCCUUCUGCAAAAUGAAAAUGCAGAGCUUUUUGUU